rnacentral:rRNA from 1 species
UACGUAGGUGGCAAGCGUUGUCCGGAUUUAUUGGGUUUAAAGGGUGCGUAGGCGGCCCUGUAAGUCAGUGCUGAAAUAUCCCGGCUUAACCGGGAGGGUGGCAUUGAUACUGCGAGGCUUGAGUAAAGUUGAGGUAGGCGGAAUUGACGGUGUAGCGGUGAAAUGCUUAGAUAUCGUCAAGAACACCGAUAGUGUAGACAGCUUACUAAGCUUUAACUGACGCUGAGGCACGAAAGUGUGGGGAUCAAACAGG